AGAUGGGUAGCUCAUUUGCCAAGGAUUCUCUGGAGGGAGAGAAUUUUGUCAUGUCUUUUAUUUUUGAGAGUGAAUUGAACUCAUGGUUCAGUCAUGGAUUCAACCAAAGAACAGACUUUAAGGAAACCCUGAUGUCUUUUGGUUGUUUUUGAUGCAGUAUUGGCACACAGAAGAUAAUGAGAUGGGAAAACAAUGGCCUAAGGCAACUUGGGCUUUGGGUGACUUGUAGCCAGUCUCUCACUCCAGUGGUGCAGCUGACUCUGUGGAGAGUCAAAGCAAUGGCUACACUUGGGCUGUGCUGAGCUUCUGAUGCUAUCCACUACAACCUUCUCAUGUGCAAACCAUGGAAACAAACUCCAGGUGUUUGAAGUGCAUCUUUGCAUUUCCUGCAUAACUGGAUCCUAGCUCAUUAAGGGUUGCAGACAUCAGCCUCUGGAGAGAAGACAGAGUGGUGCUAACUCCUGGGAAGUGCUUUGCAUGGCAUGACAGGGAGAAAGGCCUGAGUGCCAUCGCCCUUGAGCAUCAUGGGCAGGGAUUUGGAGCACAUGCACAGGUUUGGAGGAGGAGAGGUCAAGAGACAGUCUUCAGUGCUGCCUGGUCUGUAUGCUUCUCUGUGGUAGGGAAAGGACACAGAAAUUGCCUGUUCCUAAUCUGGAUGGUCCAGAGAGGCUUUAUAUUAUAUGGGUCUGGCAGCAUGUUAGUGUGAGUGUAUAUUGAUUUCUGAGCCUGCUCACCCUCCUCUGCCAUCCAUUCUCUCUUCACCUUAAAAGUUAAGCAUUUCAUCCCCCCUUUCAGACCUCCUGUGCUCUCCAGUGCCCCAGCAAAAUGUGAGUUCUCCACAAGAAUUGAGACCCUGCAGAGUGUGAG
rnacentral:lncRNA from 1 species